AACAGAGAAUUCAUUCAAAAUCCUUUACGAAAAUAAAUAUAAAAGCAAAGGUUUUAUUACAAUUUUCAUAAAAUGAUCCUUGUGUCUAUUCUACGCAGCAGUUGUGAUCUUGUUUCACGAGGGUUGUUUUAACUUUACAAGCAGCGAAAGUCCCAUUGAACAUUUCUUGACAGUGUAUGAACCUGGCUUUAGCGUGAGGUUAAGCACUUUCAAGCAUUUGAUGUAUUCUGAUACAUGGAAAAUUGAAUCACUGAGGCAGAUCUCCACUAUUUGUUAUUCUAACUUUGCUUUUCGGGGUUCCACUUUGUCUGCCUUCAGCUUCAAUUUUGUGGACAACAUCCAUCCCAGACAGCACCUUGCCGAAAACAACAUGAUGUUUGUCCAACCAGCUAGUCGUUACAGUUGUGAUAAAGAAUUGAGAUCCAUUG
rnacentral:misc_RNA from 1 species